GGUAGAUUGACAGAGUGGACGAAUGUGACGGUCUGCAAAACCGUAUGAGUUAAAUCUCACGCGCUGGUCCGAAUCCAGCAUCUACCU
rnacentral:tRNA from 2 species